UUAUUAUUAUUAUUAUUAUACCAUUGCUGAUGCUAUUGUUUAUUGUACUUAAUAGAAAAGAUUAUAAAAAGUCAUAUAUCUGUAUCCUUUUCGAGCUUUCCUUCUGCAACAUUAUUAUUUUUCCUUUUUUUUUGAAUAAAAAUAAUUUUGAAUAAAAAAUUUAUUAUAUGCUUUUCUGGAUGAGAACGAGUAAAUUAAUGCUCGAUUUCAUCACUGCUGACCACGAACAAAACACGUAAUAAAACCUAUAUUAAACUGAUUGAUAAAUUGAUUCAUUCCACAGGGGAGGUAAAUAAUUUGACUACAAGUGUCUACUCAUUAUUAUCAAGAUUGAUAAGAAGAAUCCAACAAUACUGCAACUAUGAAAGAUUUUUAAAUGAACUGUUCUUAUUAUACUUACAUUAGGAAGAAAUCAUAUGCAGUUAUGUUCUAUUAAAAGAAUACCAAAAGAAAUGUAUCCUAGUUAUCACAAAUUAAGAAAACAAAUGGCACAUUCAUUAUGUUAGGAAAUUCUAUUCAUGUCAAAAUCUUUUAUCAAGUUUUAUACACAAGAUUCAAUGUGAAUUAUUAUGCGAAAAGAAUGCAGCUGCUCUGACUAAAAAUAAUCUAGACAAUAAUAUGUUUAAAGGUAAAUAUAAUAAUUUUGUU